rnacentral:lncRNA from 10 species
GGGCGGGCGGAGCGCGGGCGCGGCGGGGGCGGGCGGCCAGGCUAGUCGGGCGGGUGCGCGGGGCGCUCGGGGCCCGGGGCCAGAGCUGGAGCCGGAGCCGGGCGGGCGCCAUGGAGGGGCUGCGGCGGGGGCUGUCGCGCUGGAAGCGCUACCACAUCAAGGUGCACCUGGCGGACGAGGCGCUGCUGCUACCGCUGACCGUGCGGCCGCGGGACACGCUCAGCGACCUGCGCGCCCAGCUGGUGGGCCAGGGCGUGAGCUCCUGGAAGCGCGCCUUCUACUACAACGCGCGGCGGCUGGACGACCACCAGACGGUGCGCGACGCGCGCCUGCAGGACGGCUCGGUGCUGCUGCUCGUCAGCGACCCCAGGUAGUCUGGGUUGGAGGAGGCAGAGCCAUGACCAAGGGGACCUGGGUACUGGCUGAAGGAAUAGGCUGGGGUAGAGGGCACUUUUGGAAGGCACUUCUCCUGCCUCCCGGGAGCCUAGAUCUCACUCCAGGGUCUGGGCUCCCAGGUGGACCAUGAAACCCUGGCCUGACCAGCUGAUGCACACUGCUUCAGACACUCCUGCUGGAGCCCCAGUCCCUGACAAGGACCUAGGACAUUUUUGCUCCUGCCCAGCCUAUCGGGAGGGAGCCUUGAGCCUUUCAGCUCUGCUGUGUGACUUUGAGGUUGUUGCUCCCCUCUUGGGGCCCUGGGUGCCCUGUCUUCAGUGGAAAGCACUGUGCCACCUUGGAAAGCUCCCAUGGGCAGCCAGAGGGCAUCGCAAGAAGAGAAGCACAGAAGGGGCAGGAGAGACACUCAGAGGCACUUCCGCUCUUGCCCAGGACAUUUUCCCAGCCACACCUUUGCCCAAGCCGUGCCCCCUGCCUGGAGCACUUUUCAACCUCUUCUCUGCAGCUCCAAUACACCUGGGAUUGCAGUCUCCUCCAGGAAGUCUUCUCAGAUUCCCUCCUUCCCAGCCAGAGAGCACCUAGCCUUCUUUGGGGCCCCCACAGGCCCUUUGUGCAGUGAACAGCCCUGGCUGGGGGUGCAGCCAGUCGUGUCCGAACUCUCCAAUGACUAAGCGGGGAGAUGCGGACAUCCUAGCUCCUUCUCAGGCCUCCAACUGUGCCCCAUUUCCACCCCCAAAUACCUCCCCAGGAGGCACCUGUGCCCACCCCCUGGGCUGUUUCCCCCUUCCCCUUAAAUCCGGAUGCCUCGUCUUGCAUAGGGUCUUGGGGCAGCGGGGAAGGGGUUCUGAAGAACUCUGGCCAAGAGGACGAGGAUCUGGGGGUGGGGAACUGGGCCUAGCUGUGGGAGGUCAUCGCGGGGCAUUGCAGGGAGUGCGUUGUGGGAAUUCCGGGUGGAGACCCUCAGGGCAGUGUGCCGGGCCUCCGUUGCACCUCUGACCUGCAGCCACGUCAUCGUUGCGCAGCCCCUGGGGAGGGUCUUUGGGGAGGGGGUGCCGAGGCUACGCAUGUCCUCGAGGGCCGUGUACACUCUCCAGGCACCAUGGGCGGAGGCGCCAGAGGCUGGGAAGAAAUAAUGUUUUAGUUAAGAGUCCUGUUGGCUGCAGGACUCAGAGCAUGGACAGGUGGAUAGUAAAUCACCACCACGGGGACAGCCGUGCCCAGACUGUGCGUUUGCUUAGCUCGGGGACAGCACUUGGCCCGGGGUCUCCUGCUCGCCUCCCUUCAGAGCAUCUGCCAAACUUCGGGCAUCUACCCUGCAAUUCCCGCUUGGCUGAGAGGAGGGGGAGAAGGAGGGGAAGAGAGAGGAGCCCCACUUCACUCCGGCAGGCAGACCUGCUGGAGCUGCUUUGCAGAAUGACUUGGGUCUUGCUGGCCCCUGGGUGUGCCUGGAGGGGGGUCUUCCUAUCCCCCUCCACCUCUCCCCUUGGUGCCUAACCCAGGACUUUGUCCCCAGAGACCCACUGUGUGCCCCCUGGAGCUCCUCCUAGAGCAGAGUCUGCUGCUGUCUGUUCUGCAGAGGGUAGCCUGAGGCCCAAGGAGGUUGUCAGGGACACACAGCAGGGGGAGGCAGCCCAGAUCCCUGCUCAUGCGUGGUUUGGGCCUCUGCUAACAGCUGGGCCACAUGCGUGUAUCUAGAGCCUGGGUCCCCUCUGUCCUCAUUUCCCUGUGCAUAUUCAGGGACAUGCCUCGUCAGGGUUUGGCAAGAAAAUGGGGCAUUUAAUAAUCUCCCCAGUUUCAUUCCUUGGUCCUUACUCCAUGCCAGGACUUGUGCACAUCUUUUUGGAGCCCUGUCUCACUUGAUUGACAGCCGGCCAGGCGCGGUGGCUCACGCCUGUAAUCCCAGCACUUUGGGAGGACGAGGCAGGCGGAUCAUGAGGUCAGGAGAUGGAGACCAUCCUGGCUAACACGGUGAAACCCCGUCUCUACUAAAAGUACAAAAAAAAUAGCCGGGCCUGGUGGCGGGCGCCUGUAGUCCCAGCUACUUGGUAGGCUGAGGCAGGAGAAUGGCGGGAACCCGGGAGGCAGAGGUUGCAGUGAGCUGAGAUCACGCCACUGCACUCCAGCCUGGGCGACAGAGCGAGACUCCGUCUCAAAAAAAAAAAAAAAAAAGAUUGACAGCCUCACUGCUCAGGGGCCAGGAUAACAGCCCAUUUUACAGAUGGCUUUUGGCUUGCCCAAGGUCACCACCCUCUGAACUGAGGCGUCCCCAACCCAUGCCGGGAGCUGGUGGAGGAAGUGGGGAAGGGUUUCCCGCUUCUCCACUGGGGGUGGAGGUGGGAGAAAGCAUUUUCAGGGUGUUUUGACAUUUAACAAACAGUAUGCAAAUCACAUGCAAAUCGCAUGCAAAUCACCACCCAUUUCUUAAGCCUCGACAGCGCUGGCAUGUUCUGAAAUAAUAAUGUUGGACCUGUCCCUUGAUGAUGACCUGGGUCGGGAGGUGCACGGCCUUUUCCUUCCUCCGUCUUCCCUUCCCUUCCCUUCCCUUCCCAUCUGUUCUCCCUUCCUUCGCCCCCUUCCUUUCCUCUCCCUCCCUAUCUUCCAUUUUUCUCUUCUUCCUUCACAUCAUUUGUCCAAGACCUCCCUGGCCUGAGAUAAACAUAAGUUGCAAAAGUGGCUUCCUGCAGCCCAUUUUCCAGGUUGGGAAACUGAGGCAUGGGCCUAAGGUCCCACAGCCACACCGAGGAAAGCAGCCCCCACUGAAUGUCACCAUGCACCAAAGUGCAUGGUCCUCGUGACACAAAGAGGGGAGAUGACAGUGGCUGGAGUUGUCAGAGCUGCUUUGAGGAAGCUCCAGGCCUGAUAGGCUUGACAGGGCCAAGGGGAACUAUUGUGGAAUGUCUUGGCCUUGAAUGACAGGCUGCUGAUUUUGGAUCUGGAGAAAGCUCACACUGACUCUUCCUGCUCCCCCAGUCUGUUUUUCUCCUGCUACUCCAUCCAUGUAUCCCUGAGUUUGGGCCACAGUCCCUCCACUUGGUUUGCAUGUCCCACCUUCUUUGUUUGGCAAGCUCCUAUUCAUCCUUCAAAGCCCUAGCUUCAAUACCUGCUACUUCAUGCAGCCAUUGCUUAUCCUUCAAGGAGAGCCUACUUCCCUCAAGGACCCUGCUGCUUCCAGUCUCACCUUCUGACUCACUCGGGAUCCACUGAACUGGGAGGUCUGUGUCUCCUCCCAGCAGAGUCAUCACUACCUUUGGGGCCGCAGGAUCACCCAGCUUGGAACUAGAUACAGAAAUGCUGUUUUGAGAGUGUACUGAAUAAAAGAUUACAUGUUUGAAAACAA